rnacentral:rRNA from 1 species
AUUGAACGCUGGCGGCGUGCUUAACACAUGCAAGUCGUGCGGUAACAGGCGUAGCAAUACGUGCUGACGAGCGGCGAACGGGUGCGUAAUACAUGGGAAUCUGCCCUUUAGUGGGGAAUGACCCGGCGAAAGCCGGGCUAAUGCCGCAUAAGAUCUUCGGAUGAAAGCGGGGAUCGUAAGACCUCGCGCUGAUGGAUGAGCCCAUGUCGGAUUAGCUAGUUGGUGAGGUAACGGCUCACCAAGGCGACGAUCCGUAGCUGGUCUGAGAGGACGGCCAGCCACACUGGGACUGAGACACGGCCCAGACUCCUACGGGAGGCAGCAGUGGGGAAUAUUGGACAAUGGGCGAAAAGCCUGAUCCAGCGACGCCGCGUGUGUGAAGAAGGCCUGCGGGUUGUAAAGCAC